GAUGAAGAACGCAGCGAAAUUCGAUAACUAAUGUGAAUUGCAGAAUUCAGUGAAUCAUCGAGUCUUUGAACGCACAUUGCGCCCCCUGGUAUUCCGGGGGGCAUGCCUGUCCGAGCGUCAUUGCUGCCCUCAAGCACGGCUUGUGUGUUGGGCUCCGUCCCCCCGGGGACGGGCCCGAAAGGCAGCGGCGGCACCGAGUCCGGUCCUCGAGCGUAUGGGGCUUUGUCACCCGCUCUGUAGGCCCGGCCGGCGCCAGCCGACAACCCAUCAUCCUUUUCAGGUUGACCUCGGAUCAGGUAGGGAUACCCGCUGAACUUAAGCAUAUCAAUAAGCGGAGGA
rnacentral:misc_RNA from 1 species